rnacentral:lncRNA from 1 species
AUUUCUUUAAUGAAUCUUGAAAUUAAUGUAUGAGUAGCAGCAUCACACAUCAUUGUGCGUGUGUGUAUACGGGCGUGUUAAAGCAUUCAUUUGUUCGAUGGAAAGAACAUACCACACUUUGUACGUAGCCUAUUUUGAUACAUCUUUUUUUAAUGGAUUUUAUUUUAUUUAUUUUACAUAAUAACCUCUAUACUGAACACAGGGCUCAAACUCACAAACCUGAGAUAAAGGCUCGCAUGUUCUACUGACUGAGCCAACCAGGUGCCCCGCACCCCUUUUGUUUUGUUUUCAAAUUUUUUCCCCCAACCAUGAAGGCCUCAGUACGUGUGGGUGGCUCAUAGGACACUAGCCCUCAGAGAGGCCUGGAAAGACGGACUAGAGAUCUCAGCAGGGGGCCAAAUCCAAUCCCCCUUUCCCUGGAAGGUCUUUUUUUUAAAAAAUAUUUUAUUUAUUGAUUCAUGAGAGACAGAGAGAGAGAGAGAGAGGCAGAGACCCAGGCAGAGGGAGAAGGGUCCCUGCGGGGGCCCGAUGCAAGACUGGACCCCGGGACCCCGGGUCACGCCCUGGGCUGCAGGCGGCGCUAAGCCGCUGGGCCCCGGGCUGCCCUUCCGUGGGGGUCCUAUUCCCGCCUCGGGGCCCAGCAGCACCUCGGACGCCCCAGGCUCGGCUCUGCUACCCGCGGCGGGAUCCGGGAUCCGGGAUCCGGGAUCCGGGAUCCGGGACCCGGGCGGGUCUUACCCACUGGGCUGUGUGCACAGGUGCCAGCUGGCGGGACAGCCUUGUAUUCGGGGUACCCCUGCCCGUGACGUCGUGGGCAGGCAGCGGUUUGCCGGACGGCUUAGGGGAUGCCCGGGGGUGCGGCGUCCCCCCAGCCAGCUGCGCAGGACGUUUUACCAGUGAGCAUCUUCACCAGCAGUGUAUGCAGGGAUCUCACCAUUAAAAUAUUUGAAUUGAGAGAAACACCCAUUCCAUAAAAUUAUAUACUUUUAAGGUAUGCAAUUCAGCGGUUUUAGUACGUUCACUAAG